GGUAAUUCGGUGGAACUCAGCAAAGACCUGGGAAAAUGACACAAAAAAACACAUUGAAAAAAUCCAAAUUAAUAUGUGUAGCAUAUUGUAACAAAUGUUUGAGGACAGGCAGACUAAGAACAGUACAGUCGUUACCUGUGACUCCAUUCGUAAGGCUGACCAGUUUGGCAAGAAGUCCCUCACUGGAAGACCAGUGAGGGACUUUAUGUGUCACUGUAACUACAUGUAGCUUUCAUCAGGCGUUCCUGAGCUGGCAUGCUGCACAGUUUGCAUUUACACCUGCCUGAAUUCUUGGUCAUUGGUUUUGCUGUUCUGAUCAUGCUUGCAGGCAUUUUCACCUACAAUAACAAUAAUGCAAAAAUCAACCAUAGUCUCUGUUUACCGUGUCUUACCAGUGAUAAGACGUUGCUGUGACGUGCUGAAGGUGGUGUACGUGUCGGUGUCCGAGCUGGUACUGGUGUCGAAGCUGGUGCUGGAGUGGAGACAGGGGAGCUGGGGGCUCCAUGACGGAGGUGGAGUAGGCUUCACAUGUGGAAAGGGAUUCUUGAACAGAAAUAAACACUCACCCUAAGUACACGAGAAACACAACAUUGUAACUUGUGAAAAAAAUAAACCUGUAAGACCACCAGCUUAGUUCGUCAUGCUGACUUAAGUAUUCGCUUCUGAGACCAAAACGUAAGAAACAGCAGCAUGAAAUACAAGCAGAACAUGGAGUUAGUGCUGAUGGCUAACUGGCUAGCGCUGAUGGCUAACUAGCUAGUUUAUUGUCUGCUACAAGAGACAAUGACGUUACUUUCUAAAUAUACUUGUUUGCUUAAAGGGAGCUUGCCACCAAUGGAAUAAAUGAUGUAUAAGUUUCUUGAAGUCGCAAAACACUCACCGUCCUCGAACGUCUCCAACAAUGCGGUGGCUGAGUCUCCCUCCUGUUGCUGGCGGUGCCAGUAAAUAGCGUUCAUUAAACCUCUUCCAACACCUCCUGGUUGACCCACGCCGGCCGUUGUGGUCCUGGGUGGACCGAUAGUCACUUUUGAGCUUUUUCAGCUUCUCCCUACACUGCUUCAUUGUCCUCUUUAUAUACAGUCUACUGUAUACGUGGGCGGCCAUCCGCUCUGAGACCUCCCGAUAAACUUUCUCCGUCCAGCUCUCUCUGUAUUCUUUGGUCCACCACCAAAGACAGAAAAGUCUCAACCUCUUCAUUCACCCACGGUACAGGUCUGGCUGUCAUAUUAAAAUUUUGAAGAACAGAGUUCCGUGAAGAGCAAUGCACACCGUCGCUGUUUACAGUUUUUUUUAAUGUCGGGUUUUGUUUUCGUGCUGGAGUCGCUCUCGUGUGUCAUCACUCCCUGUCCAAUCAGUGGCCUGCACUCUGUAGACAUCACAUUAUCGGCUCAUCUCAGCUCGCUUGGAACCUCAGCCGAGAAGGUACUGAAAAUAGUGCCUGGUACCAGGUACUAGUCCUGAUGAAAAAAGCUCACAAAGACGAGCCGAGCCGUACCGCGGCGAGCAGGUCCUAAAGGAAAUGCAGCUAAAGAGAAUGAAAUUGGAAAAGGGCUCGAGUACAACUAUUCUAGAUAUGUUCACGGUCCAGACCAUCUCUAAACUGCUCUUCCUCCAUGACUUCCGGUGUUGCAACAAAAUAAAACAGCUGUAUUUUGUAUUUUUUAAGUAAAACCAUACACACAAACUGCCCUGUCAUGAUUAACAUAUAUCAGCAGGUGUGAUGUUGGAAUGUGGAAAUCAUGUUAAUUUGUUGUCUUCAAGACAGGACCUACAUAUGAGAGAAGAAUGAUGAAGGGGUACCACGCCAUGAAAGGAGUGCAUGCUGCAGAGACACGAAUUGGAUCAGUGCUCAGAACUAUGCAUCAGCCUUACCAUGAAGCAAGGCGUCAGGCAUGUUACUGUCUUCGCCUUCAUAUUUUACAUCAGGCAUGUCAAACUCAGUUUGGCUCUGGGGCCGGAUCCAGACUUUCUGUUCUCAGGUGGGCCGGAUCAGUAAAAGAAUGUCAACUCCAAAUAUUUAGCUUUGUUUUUCAGUACUGUGCUUUAUCAUUCAGCCUACAUUUGUAGCCUACCCUACAUAUUAUAAUCACGGAUGACAAGGGAUCUUUUCUAAGCACAACACAUUUAUUCACAAACAAUGGAAAAAAAUGAUUUUCAUGUUUGGCGGUGAAUGUGUUAACAACUGGUUUAUUUUAACAGUUGAGUGAAUGCAGUUUUAACCAACUCACCACACUAAACAAACUCAAGUGGGAGCUAUGAAAAAAAUAUUUUUGCCUUAAUUGUCAUACUGCUUUGAAAUAAAUAAAAAAAAUAAAUAUAAAAUAAAAUAAAAUAAAAUAAAUAAAUAAAUAAAAUUAAAAGUUAUAGCAGUGCAUGGGCAAUAAGAUUAGACUACAUCAGAUCAAACUACUAGGCUGGGCCUACUGAAGCUGAGAAUAUACUGCAGAAUAUUAAUUGUCUUUAAUAUGAAACCAGAUUAAUCUUAUCUUUAAUGAUCUGUAUUCAUGAGUGCAAACAAAUUUCGUGUCAUCACACUUUUUUUCUCUCUCUCACUGCACUCCUGCAGUCUACUUGCUGCUGCUGGCUCCUGAAACUUGGCAUCUUUUUUUUCAUUUCAUUUAACAAUGUCAUUCAAGUGUUUAUUUGUUAACCUUGAGCGCUGCUUUGUUUUAUUAUUGUUCAUUACGGAGAACACCUGUUCACAAAGAUAAGUAGUCCCAAACAUGGAUAGAACCUUUGCAGCCAUGGCUGUUAAUUUGGGGUAACCUGGCAUGAGAUAUUGAUAAAACGUAUCCAAUCCCACGGACCCAAAUUUAUCCUUCAUAGCGGAAUCGCACUGCAAGUCAAUAAGCUCGAGUUGAAUGUCAGCUGGCAUAUCAGAAGGCUUCAUUGUAAAUGGCGAGCGAAAAAAGCCAAAUUUGUUCUCAAGUUCACUGAAUACCUGAAACCUCUGCUCAAACUCUCGCAGCAAAUCUGUUAUGUUGUCUUUAUAUUUAUCCAAAUCAUUAUCGGGACGGUCCGGUGCCUUCAAACGCACAGCUGUGAGACAAGAGAAAUGCGCGGUGUCACCGUUGAAUAGCUGCGACUCCCACAGUGACAGUUUCAUCUUGAACGCACUUAUGCUGUCGUAAUAUUGAGUGACAACUCUGUUACGGCCCUGCAAUGCAGUGUUAAGUGUAUUCAAGUGUUGUGUAAUAUCGACCAUAAACGCAAGAUCCUGCACCCAUUCCUUGCAUUUAAGUUCCUUUACUGGGCGUCCCUUCUUCUCCAUGAACUGUCCAAUUUCCCCUCGUAGCUCAAAGAAGCGCGUAAGUACUGCACCUCUGCUUAACCACCGCACGUCAGUGUGGUAUGGAAGGCCAGCAUGAAUGUCAUUAUCACUGAGAAAUGUGUCAAACUGACGGUGAUUUAGACCCCGCGCUCUGAUGAAAUUGACAGUUUUCACAACCACACUCAUAACAUGGUCCAUUUGCAGUGUUUUGCAACAUAACGCCUCCUGGUGCAAAAUACAGUGAAAUGCCCAAAACUAUUGUCCUCCAUUUGCGGUCUGUACUUUGUCACGGAAUUUUGUGGCAACGCCUGCCUUUCUCCCGACCAUUGAUGGCGCACAGUUGGUAGCCAGGCUCACGGCACGGGACCAGUCCACUCCCACCUUGUCCAGCGCUCCAACGAGAGCGCUGAAAAUGUCAUCUGCUGUUGUGGUGUCAUUCAUGGGCACCAAUUUAAGCAGCUCCUUGGUGAUGGUCAAAGUUUCAUCAACACCUCUAAUGAAUAUGGCCAGCUGAGCAAUAUCUGUGACAUCGGUGCUCUCAUCUAUUGCAAUUGAAAAUGCGAUAAAUGACUGGAUUUUAUCUUUCAAUUGAGAGUUCUGUCACCCGAUCUGCGACAGUGUUCCUCGUUAGACUAAUAUUGGCAAAGGCAGGUCGCUUUUCAGGGCACACGACUUCUGCAGCCUUCAGCAUGCAUGUUUUUACAAACUCCCCAUCAGAAAAUGGCUUGGAUGCCUGCACCAGCUCGUUGGCAAUAAUGUAGCUAACUCUUACAGCCCCAUCAGCAAUAUCGCGGCUGCGCGUAAAAGUAGACUGCUGUUUCUUCAGACCAGCGACCAAUUUGUUUAACUCGUCUUUCCUUAUUUGUCCUUUCAAGUGGUCAUACUUGUCUUUAUGAUGAGUCUCAUAGUGGUGCCGAAUAUUAAACUCUUUGAACACUGCAACUUGCUGAUUACAUACCAAGAACACUGGUUUUGCAUUCACUUCUGUGAAUAAAUACUUCUCAGUCCAUUUUUCCUGGAAAACUCUGCACUCCGUGUCCACUUUUCUUUUUUUUGACAGUGCCAUUUUGGGAAGGGUGUGUUGACCGAUGAAGCAAGAUUGCCGGUUUAUUUUUACUUGGACACAUCACGUUGCGAAUGUUUAUUUCCUGUGACUAACUCGUGUCAGUGCCGCAUGCUGGACGUGAGCGCUUUUACACAUUUACUGCCCUUUAGCGGCCGGAGGGAGCAUUUGGUUUGUAUUUAUUUUAAAAAAUCACAACUUUUGAUAGAAAUGAGCUAGAGACUCGCUUCUUUUUUUGACAUACUCAGAAAUUUAUGCCGGGCCGGAUUAAAUCAUCCAACGGGCCGGGUCCGGCCCGCGGGCCGUAUGUUUGACAUGCCUGUUUUACAUCAUCAAACUUGUGUAAUUUAUGUCUAACUAUGAGCUUGUGUGUGUUUUGGUGCUUGUUUAGCUGCAGUUAUGUAGCACAAGAUUUUUAAAAAAUUAUGGUUUUAUAGUAUAACCAGAUCAAGUGCCCUAAUUUAUUUUUAAUUUUCAUUUUGACAGAGAUGAUACAAAUAGACAUAGUUACAGUUAUAAAACUUUUAACUGAUGCAGUAUAUGAUUAAUAGGAUUUUUGUAUACUGUGAAGUAGUUACAUUUUUCUCUCUUUAGGGUGCCCGCAAUCUCAACCCGUACCAUAUCACGCUGAAUACAUGGGACACAAGAUUCAUAUGGAUCAAAAUGAAAAACUGGCCAUGUUUGGAGUCACCCAUGUUUUAUCUGUUGAUGGCUUCAGCAAAAAGGCCUGCAGUACUUGCCUAUGGUAUCUGGGACCAGGUGCGAGUCGCUCAUGGCAAGGAGUUUUACUUGACGCUCUUCAUGCAGGCGCUGCUGUCUACUCAUUGCCACAAUCAGGAGAGAAGGAGAGAGGCCUUAAUUACAGACUUCAUCCACAAAGAAUCAUAUAGUUGAACGAAUCUGGCCUGAGGUCAACAACCGUAUCAACUAUCCACUGAAGACAGCCAUGCUGCAGUUGGAGGAUCAAGAGGAACUAGACAUGAACGAUGGCCUUGUGAGAUACUGUGUCCAACCUGACUGUCCAGUUGUGCCAGAUUGGUCUUACAAGACUGGUAGAGUCAUGGAAUUCUCACCGCAUUCCAGGUGAAACAAAUCAGUGUUGCAAAGAUUAGAAUAAUUACAGCAAGCACUUUUAAGUUUCAAGAACUGCACUAAUUUCUUUAUUUUACAGGUAAAAGUGUACCAAACGACUUGGUUGGCAGUGGCUGUCCCAAAAAAAAAUCCCACAGGAGCCUUAUUCAGUAGAAGCAGCAGACCUUUACAGCCAACAGUUGGGAUCCUCACUGACAAUACAUUCUACUUUUGGAAAUGAUCCAUUUUCCAAUGAACAAAACAAACUUACAGUUGACAGUCAGUUUGCAGAGAAAUAUUCAGACAUUUCAGAUUUGUUGUCAAGAGCAGUGAACGAGGACUUUGCCGCACUCAAAGAAGCAUUGCUCUUUCUCAUAACAACAACUCAACACAAUGUGUGAAAAGACAUUUGCUGUAUUUGAACUUAGUGGACCUUUACAGCCAAAAGCUGGGAUCCUCACUGACAAUACAUUCUACUUUUGGAGUUGAUCUAUUUUCAACUGAACAGGACAAACUUGAGAGUUGAGAAUCAGUUUGCAGAGAAAUAUUCAGACAUUUCAGAAUUCUAUAGAGCAGUGAACAACAACAUGGCUCCAUACAAAGACGCACUGCUCUCUCAUAACCACAACUUUAAAGAAUGUAAAUUUGUAACUAGAACAAUUAAGUGGUGGCAAUGUAUGUAAAGAUAAAUGUUAAUCUCACUAAAACAGUGAACACUAAUAUGACGUCAUCCAGGCCAAACGUGUGAAUGUAUUCACAUUAGUAGUACAAGAACUCUGACCCAAAUAUCUGAAACAAUAAAACAACACAACAGGCCUACAGUAUUUGAGUAUGAAAGUGCAAAAUGUUACUCCUCUUCAAAAAGGGAUCUCAGAACAGAAAAUGCCUCUGACAGACCAUUAACUUCAAAUAUGUUGCUGCCUUCAGUGUUCCCUCUACAUUUUGCACAAUGCCCAGAGGUCAACUGCCACUGUUCCACACGUUUUGCAGCCAAUAAUGCUUUGGCAACAGUCUGUGAAGACUGGCUCAUCAAUGAACUCUGAAAAAUAAAAAGAGAAAAACUAGUCCUUCUCUGUGUCACCAUCUAUUCAAUUUCAAUUCAAUUCAAUUCAAUUUUAUUUAUAUAGCGCCAAUUACAGUCAAAUUGUCUCGAGACGCUUUACAGAACCCAUAUGCCUGACCCCCAGAGCAAGCCAAAAGGUGACAGUGGCAAGGAAAACACCCUUUUAACAGGGAAAAAAACCUCGAGCAGAACCCGGCUCUAAUGUGGGGGGACCCAUCUGCUGCUGGCCGGGCGGGUUGUCCUUAAUGUGUUUUUAAUGUAAUGGAUGACAGUGUUUUCUUCUUCUUUUUUCCACACAUUCCCACACAUUUUUACCAACUAAUUUUCAAAACUUUUCCAUAAUAUUUUACUUCAUUUACAGGACUUUAUCUAAAUACGGUAGUUUUCAGUAAGUAGCUCACAGUGAUGAAAGGGUGCAAUAAUGAGGCUCUGAGUGGAGGAGAAGAGGAUGAGGAAGUGAAGAGGAGGAGAAACAAUAGCCAGAAACAAUGUAUAUUCAAAUUUUUUCCUGUUAAUUUCAAACAAUUUCCAGGUCUGUAAAACUCUUUUUUUAAUCAUUCCAUAACUUUUCCAAGAAUUUCAUGAUCAUGGGAACCCUGCAUAAUGCAUUUCGUUGUUUGGACAAAUAAGAGUAUUAUGAUUGCUUAAUAUUACCUCGUUCUCCUCCUUUUUUUGUCCUGCAGCUCCUGGAUGUCCUAUUCUUGUACAGCAAGAAUCUUUUGUGCAUUUUGUUUCCAGUACUGUGACCCUUUGGAAUGGGGGUGGAGACCAGGGAAAACCAUUACAACUUAAGUGGAUGGUUCAGACAUGAGGAAUCAUGUGUCAUUUAAUUUUCAGUCACUAAAGUUAAGACUUAAAAAAUGUAAUAAAAUUAAAUGUACUCACCUGUUGUUCCUUCUGACUCCAAAAUUGUAUUCCCUUGCGCAUCAGACAACACCACGGGGUCAUGAUUUCCAAUGGCAUCUUGUACUUUUCUGAUGAUCCCCUGCAGGGUAGCCUCACAUUCCAAAAACCGGACCACCACCGUUCUACUGGGACUCAACCUUCCACCAACCACCUCAGCGAGGUAUACUGAUCUGUGAAAAUAUAUAAAAAUAAUUGCUGUCACACACAGAGCAUUCGUAAUUCUGGCAAUGGCUAAUGAUGUUGUAUACCAACAAUAACUCGGAAAUGCGGCAAUGAUUUUGUUGUGUUUUAAGAUGCAUGGAAAAUAUGGUACUUUGAAAAAUAGUUUGUGUCUGAUAUUGUUUUUCCGCAGAAAGAGACAAAU